UUUUCAUAGAUCCAUCAUCAUUCAAAUAGGUUAGGAAAAUAUUUUUGUAUUUUUUGAAUAUCAAAAACUAUUUAAAAUGAAUUAAAAACAACCAGAAAAGAGAAAAUUCAUAAAAAAUAUCAAAUGAUAAAAAAAAAAUCAGAAAUAGAAACUAGAAUUUAUUUAGAGACUAAUGCAAUUGGUCCCAUAAUUUUUGGAUUAAAAAUGAAAGAGUUAUGAUUUUUUGAAAUAAAAUGAAAUAAACAAAAUAAAAUGAAAUAAAUCAGAAAAUGCAAAAAGCCUGGCGCAUUGGAUCAAGUUUCAUUAAAUGAUGUGGCACAUCAGAUGGCUCACAGGCGCGCGCGUAUCAUAGGCUUGAGUCAAAGGCGAAGCACAAUGUAUUAAAAAAGUCAUAACAAUGAAUGGCAUGGAUUAGAUCUG
rnacentral:lncRNA from 1 species